rnacentral:miRNA from 1 species
UCUUAGCUGAGUGUCCCGCGGGGCCCGAAGCGUUUACUUUUGAAAUAUUAAGAGUGUUCAAAGCAGGCCCGAGCCGCCUGGAUACCGCAGCUAGGA